rnacentral:rRNA from 1 species
UACGUAGGCAGCGAGCGUUGUUCGGAAUUACUGGGCGUAAAGAGUGUGUAGGCGGUGUUCCCAGUCUGUUGUGAAAUCUCCCGGCUUAACUGGGAGGGUGCAGCGGAAACUAGAAUGCUAGAGGGUGGGAGAGGUAAGCGGAAUUCCUGGUGUAGCGGUGAAAUGCGCAGAUAUCGAGAGGAACACCUGCGGCGAAGGCGGGUUGCUGGGCCGACACUGACGCUGAUGCGCGAAAGCCAGGGGAGCGAACAGG